rnacentral:rRNA from 1 species
AUAUCAAUAAGCGGAGGAAAAGAAACUAACAAGGAUUCCCCUAGUAACUGCGAGUGAAGCGGGAAAAGCUCAAAUUUAAAAUCUGGCAGUCUCUGGCUGUCCGAGUUGUAAUCUAGAGAAGCGUUAUCCGCGCUGGACCGUGUACAAGUCUCCUGGAAUGGAGCGUCAUAGAGGGUGAGAAUCCCGUCUUUGACACGGACUGCCAGGGCUUUGUGAUGCGCUCUCAAAGAGUCGAGUUGUUUGGGAAUGCAGCUCAAAAUGGGUGGUAAAUUCCAUCUAAAGCUAAAUAUUGGCGAGAGACCGAUAGCGAACAAGUACCGUGAGGGAAAGAUGAAAAGAACUUUGGAAAGAGAGUUAAACAGUACGUGAAAUUGCUGAAAGGGAAACGCUUGAAGUCAGUCGCGUUGGCCAGGGAUCAACCUUGCUUUUGCUUGGUGUACUUUCUGGUUGACGGGUCAGCAUCAAUUUUGAUCAUUGGAAAAAGGUUGUAGGGAAUGUGGCAUCUUCGGAUGUGUUAUAGCCCUUCACUGCAUACAAUGGUUGGGAUUGAGGAACUCAGCACGCCGCAAGGCCGGGUUUUAACCACGUACGUGCUUAGGAUGCUGGCAUAAUGGCUUUAAUCGACCCGUCUUGAAACACGGACCAAGGAGUCUAACAUGCCUGCGAGUGUUUGGGUGGAAAACCCGAGCGCGCAAUGAAAGUGAAAGUUGAGAUCCCUGUCGUGGGGAGCAUCGACGCCCGGACCAGACCUUUUGCGACGGUUCCGCGGUAGAGCAUGUAUGUUGGGACCCGAAAGAUGGUGAACUAUGCCUGAAUAGGGUGAAGCCAGAGGAAACUCUGGUGGAGGCUCGUAGCGAUUCUGACGUGCAAAUCGAUCGUCAAAUUUGGGUAUAGGGGCGAAAGACUAAUCGAACCAUCUAGUAGCUGGUUCCUG